rnacentral:lncRNA from 1 species
GGGUGGAUUCAUACGGUUGGUGGAGGCUUCGGGUGGAGUUCAGAUCGACGCUGACGUCGCGCCGGGGAGCCGUUCGAGCGCGUGGAUGUCGUAGUUGCAUCGUUGGGUGGCUGGGUGAGCCCGUGGUUCCGCUUCAUUCGACUUUCUGCCGUCGUGGUUUAGCGUUUUGAGGUGGGUUAAUGAUAUGUUUAUCGGAUUCUACGGAUUUCCUCCAAGUCUAGUUGAUGUCAGCAUGUAUAUUUUUAGUCUUGUAUAUCAUGUUAUUUUAGCUCGAAUUCAUCGAUUUGCUUGCUAACUGAAAUCUGAAUUUGGAGCAUAUAGUAGUGAUUUAGAUAAAUUAUACAUGUUAAACUUGGAAUUGACUUUGGAGAAAACUAUCGAUUCUACACCGUCAUUUUCUAAAACUACCAGAUUUAGCUGUAGGAGCCGUAGUUUGUUUGUAUCGCCGUAGUUUGUGGGCUGUGGAUAUCCAGAAUAGUGUAGAAUGCAUUUACGCUCGUGCUGGGAUGCCGAGCUUAUUUUUACAGUAGUGUAUAGACUGUUCUAGGCUGUCGGGUGCCGUUGUGCGUGGUUGACGGUGGACCCAGAUUGCUA